GACGAACGCUGGCGGCGUGCUUAACACAUGCAAGUCGAACGGAAAGGCCCUGCUUUUGUGGGGUGCUCGAGUGGCGAACGGGUGAGUAACACGUGAGUAACCUGCCCUUGACUUUGGGAUAACUUCAGGAAACUGGAGCUAAUACCGGAUAGGAGCUCCUGCUGCAUGGUGGGGGUUGGAAAGUUUCGGCGGUUGGGGAUGGACUCGCGGCUUAUCAGCUUGUUGGUGGGGUAGUGGCUUACCAAGGCUUUGACGGGUAGCUGGCCUGAGAGGGUGACCGGCCACAUUGGGACUGAGAUACGGCCCAGACUCCUACGGGAGGCAGCAGUGGGGAAUAUUGCACAAUGGGCGGAAGCCUGAUGCAGCAACGCCGCGUGCGGGAUGACGGCCUUCGGGUUGUAAACCGCUUUCGCCUGUGACGAAGCGUGAGUGACGGUAAUGGGUAAAGAAGCACCGGCUAACUCCGUG
rnacentral:rRNA from 1 species